CUUCAGUGCUGCAGCAAACGCAUUAAGCACUCCGCCUGGGGAGUACGACCGCAAGGUUGAAACUCAAAGGAAUUGACGGGGGCCCGCACAAGCGGUGGAGCAUGUGGUUUAAUUCGAAGCAACGCGAAGAACCUUACCAGGUCUUGACAUCCUUUGACCACUCUAGAGAUAGAGCUUCCCCUUCGGGGGCAAAGUGACAGGUGGUGCAUGGUUGUCGUCAGCUCGUGUCGUGAGAUGUUGGGUUAAGUCCCGCAACGAGCGCAACCCUUAUUGUUAGUUGCCAUCAUUUAGUUGGGCACUCUAGCGAGACUGCCGGUGACAAACCGGAGGAAGGUGGGGAUGACGUCAAAUCAUCAUGCCCCUUAUGACCUGGGCUACACACGUGCUACAAUGGGAAGUACAACGAGUUGCGAAGUCGCGAGGCUAAGCUAAUCUCUUAAAGCUUCUCUCAGUUCGGAUUGUAGGCUGCAACUCGCCUACAUGAAGCCGGAAUCGCUAGUAAUCGCGGAUCAGCACGCCGCGGUGAAUACGUUCCCGGGCCUUGUACACACCGCCC
rnacentral:rRNA from 1 species